AAGAGAUCCAACAAACAAAAAAUAAAAAAAAAAUCAACGGACACCCAUACAAGGCAGCGGGUAUCUCCACCAAUCAUGAUAACAAUAAUGAAAAGAAGCUUGAUUAGCUUUAAGCCACAGAAAAGAUAAUAGCUUGACUUUCUCUAAAAGAACCAAUGAUGAAGACACCGUCUCUUGGAAAAUACGAUUGUUUCUUUCCUUCCAGAUUACCCAGACACAAGCAAACCAUAUAACCUUGAAGAACGAAUGAGUAACUCUCAGCAUCCCUGCCAUGUAGGAAACCUGAAUGAAAUGAUCGCGAAGCUGACAGGGAGGGACUAUCGACAACCCUAUCCAAUUCCAGACAAGAAACCACAGUGUAUAAGCCAA
rnacentral:lncRNA from 1 species